GUAAUCGUGGCCGAGUGGUUAAGGCGAUGGACUCGAAAUCCAUUGGGGUCUCACCACGCAGGUUGAAAUCCUGCUGACUACG